rnacentral:rRNA from 1 species
GUGUCAGCAGCCGCGGUAAUACGUAGGCAGCAAGCGUUGUUCGGAAUUACUGGGCGUAAAGAGUGUGUAGGUGGUGUCGUAAGUUUGGUGUGAAAUCUCCCGGCUUAACUGGGAGGGUGCGCCGAAGACUGCGAUGCUUGAGUAUGGGAGAGGAAAGCGGAAUUCCUGGUGUAGCGGUGAAAUGCGUAGAUAUCAGGAGGAACACCUGCGGUGUAGACGGCUUUCUGGACCAUUACUGACACUGAGACACGAAAGCGUGGGUAGCAAACAGGAUUAGAUACCCUGGUAGUCCACGCCCUAAACGAUGCAUACUUGGUGUGAGCCAUUCAGUUGGUUCGUGCCGGAGCUAACGCGUUAAGUAUGCCGCCUGGGGAGUACGGUCGCAAGGCUGAAACUUAAAUGAAUUGGCGGGG